rnacentral:rRNA from 1 species
UACGUAGGUGGCAAGCGUUGUCCGGAUUUACUGGGCGUAAAGAGCGCGCAGGCGGUCGGAUAAGUCGAAUGUGAAAGCCCCCGGCUCAACUGGGGAGGGUCAUUCGAUACUGUUCGACUCGAAGGCAGGAGAGGGAAGUGGAAUUCCCGGUGUAGUGGUGAAAUGCGUAGAUAUCUGGAGGAACACCGGUGGCGAAGGCGGCAUCCUGGACCGGCAUUGACGCUGAGGAGCGAAAGCCAGGGGAGCAAACGGG